rnacentral:rRNA from 1 species
UCUACGGGACGCAGCAGGCGCGAAACCUCUGCAAUAGGCGAAAGCUUGACAGGGUUACUCUGAGUGAUUUCCGUUAAGGAGAUCUUUUGGCAUCUCUAAAAAUGGUGCAGAAUAAGGGGUGGGCAAGUCUGGUGCCAGCAGCCGCGGUAAUA